rnacentral:pre_miRNA from 1 species
GUCGAGGCUAGUGUAAUUCUGUGACAGCUUUGCAGCAAGUAUUGCACUUACCCCGGCUG